AGCAGCCGCGGUAAUUCCAGCUCCAAUAGCGUAUAUUAAAGUUGUUGCAGUUAAAAAGCUCGUAGUUGAAUUUCGGGGUCAGCAGGUUGGUCGUGCCAAUGGUAUGCACUGGCCUUGCUGAUUCCUCCCUCUUGUAGAACCGUAAUGCCAUUAAGUUGGUGUUGCGGGGAAACAGGACUGUUACUUUGAAAAAAUUAGAGUGUUUAAAGCAGGCUAACGCCUGAAUACAUUAGCAUGGAAUAAUGAAAUAGGACGAUCGAUCCUAUUUUGUUGGUUUCUAGGAUUGACGUAAUGAUUAAUAGGGAUAGUUGGGGGCAUUAGUAUUCAAUUGUCAGAGGUGAAAUUCUUGGAUUUAUUGAAGACUGACUACUGCGAAAGCAUUUGCCAAGGAUGUUUUCAUUAAUCAAGAACGAAAGUUAGGGGAUCGAAGACGAUCAGAUACCGUCGUAGUCUUAACCAUAAACUAUGCCGACUAGGGAUCGGAUGAUGUUAAUUUUUAAUGACUCAUUCGGCGCCUUAA
rnacentral:rRNA from 1 species